AAAUUGAAGAGUUUGAUCAUGGCUCAGAUUGAACGCUGGCGGCAGGCCUAACACAUGCAAGUCGAGCGGAAACGAGUUAUCUGAACCUUCGGGGGACGAUAACGGCGUCGAGCGGCGGACGGGUGAGUAAUGCCUAGGAAAUUGCCCUGAUGUGGGGGAUAACCAUUGGAAACGAUGGCUAAUACCGCAUGAUGCCUACGGGCCAAAGAGGGGGACCUUCGGGCCUCUCGCGUCAGGAUAUGCCUAGGUGGGAUUAGCUAGUUGGUGAGGUAAGGGCUCACCAAGGCGACGAUCCCUAGCUGGUCUGAGAGGAUGAUCAGCCACACUGGAACUGAGACACGGUCCAGACUCCUACGGGAGGCAGCAGUGGGGAAUAUUGCACAAUGGGCGCAAGCCUGAUGCAGCCAUGCCGCGUGUGUGAAGAAGGCCUUCGGGUUGUAAAGCACUUUCAGUCGUGAGGAAGGU
rnacentral:rRNA from 2 species